GNUGUGCAUUGCAGAUUCAGUGAAUCAUCGAAUCUUUGAACGCACAUUGCGCCCUCUGGUAUUCCGGGGGGCAUGCCUGUUCGAGCGUCAUUAUAACCACUCAAGCUCUCGCUUGGUAUUGGGGUUCGCGGUUUCGCGGCCCCUAAAAUCAGUGGCGGUGCCUGUCGGCUCUACGCGUAGUAAUACUCCUCGCGAUUGAGUCCGGUAGGUCUACUUGCCAGCAACCCCCAAUUUUUACAGGUUGACCUCGGAUCAGGUAGGGAUACCCGCUGAACUUAAGCAUAUCAAUAAGCGGAGGAA
rnacentral:rRNA from 1 species